rnacentral:lncRNA from 12 species
AUGCAUGGCCACAUCCUUCAGCUGUGUGUAAUCCAAGCUGUAGCCUCUUUUAUCCAUCUAGAACCCAAGAAUGCUACUUUGUUACGAGGCAGUGAGGUUCACUUUAACUGCAGCACUGAUGAAUCCUGGGAUGUCAUGACGUGGCUGUUGGGUGGAAGAACAGUCCUCACCAUCUCAGUGGAACAUGGUCCUCUAGGCAGAGAUGAGCAUGUGUCCACAGUCAAUCACUCCACCUCAUCUCUCUCCAUGUGGGAGUUAGUGCUGAUGAACGCUUCCUUCAGCUCCAUUGUACAGGAAGUCAUAUGUGAACUGCUGCCUACAAGACUUGGCAGAUCAUCAUCAGCCCUGUUUGUACAAGAAAAAGGAAAUGUCAGGAUUUUGGAGAGUGAUCUGUCCGUUCAAGAGGGGAUGCUUGUCACCUUCCAUUGCCAAGCGAGUGGCUGGUAUCCGGACCCUUCAGUGUCCUGGGUGGUCAGUGGCACCACUGUGGACAGAGGCGACUACAACACCAGCAGUCUCCAGGACCCCAAUGGCCUUUUCAACUCCACCAGUGUGCUUCAGAUAAAAGCAGAAACAAGCAGCUCAGUGGAGUGUUGGGCAUCUGUGUCUGCCGCUGUAGCCCACCAAAGCAACAGUGUCAAGCUGACUGUAGGUAAGAUGGCACCGAAAGCUCCACAGGACUACACAGUUGUGAUCGCCGUGAUAGUGUCUGUGUGUACGAUCAUUCUGCUGGCAGUCCUCAUCCUGAUCUUGUACUAUAGAAAAAAACUGUCAAAAUCAAGCUCUGGAAAUAAAGUCAGUUCCUCCUCGUGGACUGUCAAUUUAAGCAGACGGAGGAGGUCUGUUGCUGAUGAAACCAGAGGAAAAGUUAACCCAGGAUACCAUGCCGAAGACAUAACAAGUUCAGGACACCAUGACCUCAGGAAUAGAGCUGACAGCACGAUAAACAUCAUCAGCCCUCCACGGGUUCCUGAUAUUGUCAUUUUCAGCACUCAAAAUCAGAAAGAGGAAGAUUUUUCUAACCUCUACUGUAAGGGAGCAAAGACAGUCCGCCGGGUCACCACUGUUUGACCUCAGGGUCGACCUCACAUAAACCUCCCACUGUAAGAAAGAAACAAAGGUCAUAUAUGCUGAAAAUGAAGAUGCAAUGGCUUGCCUAUCUAGAGGAUGGGGAUCAUCACAUGAGACCUUCAGUAAUGUCAACUACAUGCAGCAUUCACAGUCAUGACUGCUGUUAUAUCAGUCACGUCAACAUUGUAUAUGCAUGUUUUUUUUUGUUUUUUUUUUGUUACUUCAAAAAAUGUUAUGUAAUAUUUUUGCACUAUUUUGUAAUGGUGUUCCAUCUUAUUCAAGUGGAAAAAUGUUUAAGUUAUUUACAGUAUUCGUAUCUGUAUUGGUAUAGAGAGCUGCGGUGAUGACAUAUUUUUGUAGGCUAACCUGGAAGUCAGCAUCACCCUGUCUCCCUAGGGUCUUUCCAUUGGCUUUUGGAUUAUUACAGAAAAUAAACUCUGUGACCAACAAAGAGUUUGAUUCUUACAUGUCUUGUUCAUCAUAAUAAUAUUCACAAAUGAAUACAACUUGAACCUAAAUACAAUCGGCAGACGCAGCUGAACAUAGGCAAGAAACAAACUNAAAGAGAGCCAUUAUACAACAAAUAAACACAACAUCCUGUGAAAGCGACCUAGUAAGUGGUUGAGUUUACUCUUUUUGGUAUGAUGAACUUGAAUGACCCUGAUAACCUCUGUAAGUUCAAUUUAGCCACUUAUUAGCAACCGCCUUUUACAAGCAAGUAAAAGCUUAAAAAAAAUUCACAAGUUGUUAUUAUGCGUAUACGGAUGUAUUUUAUGUUGUAGAAUCCAAUGUGGAUAUCUUGAGCUUGUUUUCACCAAAGUUUUUAAAACUUUUAAAAAACCCAUUGUCUUUAAGUUGAUGGGACCUGAAGUGCUAAACUAGCUGAUUUAUGGGUUUUGACCUACAAAAAUAUGUCAGUUCCACAUUACUUUUUUAGCUUUGCAAGUUCUUUUUUUUUUUUUUUUUUACAAAAAGAAAAUUAGUGUUAUAGUGCAUCUUUUCCAUAGACUAUUGUACUGUAAGGUAUUGCUUGGUGUGUUGAAUGAUAAUUCCAAAAAAAACAAAAAAACAAUAUUUUCCUCAGAGGGUUCAAGUAAGGGAAAUGUGCCUUCAUGUUUUCCCACUGUUGCUCGUCAGUCAUGGAUGGCAACUGCUGAAUAAAUUAGGGUCACCCUCAGUAGAUCACACGAAGCUGUCAUGAUAUGAGAGGGUGAUAACAUAACCCUUUUGUUUUUGUUUGGUUCUCCAGACCAGUGUUAUCUUUCCUAGACCUGCUUGUGUUACUGAGGUUUUCAUUUGCCAUUCACAAGUGGUGGAUUGAUGUCAGGGUCAAGCAGACUGUUUCUCUGGGGUGAUUUUCAGCCUCUCAAAGACUUCUGCAUCUCACAGGAUGUCUGUCUGUUCUGCAGAAAUAUUGCAGUGCAGUAUUUGAGACCUGUUAGAUAAUAAAUUUGGUAUUCUUAUAUAAAUUUUAAUUUUUGUCUGUAAUUGUUAUUUUUGCAAUUAAUGAUGUUGUGUAUUUUUUUUUUAUUGUGUCACAGCUUAAUGCGUGGAAAAAAAAUCUAGUUUUAUUAAUAGUUUGAAUUAGCUUUUAUUUUUUAUUUUCAAUUUCAUUUUAAUUGAAUACAUUUUUUGUUAUAAAAAAUGUUACAAUAUGUUUAAUGUAGUUUUAGCUAAUAACAGUAAUCCUGCUUACAACAUAAAUAAAUAAAUAAAUAAAAACAGAAAAAAUUUAAUGUUUAAAUCUUUGAAGACAUUUAAUAUUCUUUUUUUGUCCUAAACACUCUAUAUCACAACUGCAUACAAUUAUUCCAAAUACUACUGUACAAUGAUUGGUUUAGUGUAACUCAGUAAUGCAUUUGUGUUAUAUCAGGCACAUAUGAGAUGCAGGCACUAGCUGUAAUCAUGUGAAUGAAAACAUCUAAUCAUCAGCAUAAAUAUUUAUUCAUGCAUAUUAGAACCCAGCCAACACAUAAAGGUUUCCGCCUCCAAACAAUGAUUCAGUCUUUAUGUAAUUGACCUUAGCUGAAUGAACCCUUUUGGAAUCAGUCACGGUACUUUGAAACAAUUGCAGUCUACUUUACACAGCGCGAUUCACUGCAACACUGAUGAAUAACUUAACAUGUCUUCUCUGUGAUUGAAAUGCAAUCCUUUCUAUAGUGCAUCCUUACAACAGGGCAUUUAAGUGCUUUCAAAGUCAGCUAGGUGCCACUGUAUUAAGUGACUGGCUAUUAAAGGAAAUUGGAGACAGGAGUCCUUCACAUGGUGCUGUUAGCAUAAUUAAGACCCAAGUAAUUAGCAGAUUAAUGCCUCUUAAAAACUGAUGAAGUGAGUGAGUAAUGCAUAAAAGCUUUACAUUUGAGAUCUAGUGUUUCUUUUAUGUGCAAACUCAGCAGGAAUGGGAGAAGCUCAGAGAAUGGCCA